rnacentral:rRNA from 1 species
CCUACGGGAGGCGACGUGGGAGAAUUNGAGANNUGGGCGAGAAGCCUGAUUCCAGCAACGCCGCGUGAGGGAUGACGGCCUUCGGGUUGUAACCCUCUUUCGGUAGGGACGAAGCGCAAGUGACGGUACCUACUAAAGAAGCACCGGCCAACUACGUGCCAGACAGCCGCGGUAAUACGUAGGGGUGCGAGCGNNGUCCGGAAUAAUUGGGCGUAAAGGGCUCGUAGGCGGUUUGUCGCGUCGGGAGUGAAAACCAGGUGCUUAACACCUGGCUUGCUUCNCGAUACGGGCAGACUAGAGGUAUGCAGGGGGAGAACGGAAUUCCUGGUGUAGCGGGUGAAAUGCGCAGAUAUCAGGAGGAACACCGGUGGCGAAGGCGGUUCUCUGGGGCAUGACCUGACGCUGAGGAGCGAAGGUGUGGGGAGCGAACAGGAUUAGAUACCCUGGUAGUCCACACCGUAAACGUCGGGCGCUAGGUGUGGGGUCCAUCCCAGGGAUCCCGUGCCGCAGCUAACGCAUUAAGCGCCCCGCCUGGGGAGUACGGCCGCAAGCCUAAAACUCAAAGGAAUGGACGG